AAACUUUGAUGCUAAUUUACAACUAGCAUCCGCCAGGGAACUACAAGCACCAGCUUGAAACCCAAAGGACUUGGCGGUGCCUCAGACCCCCCUAGAGGAGCCUGUUCUAGAACCGAUAACCCCCGUUCAACCUCACCACUCCUUGCCCUUUCCGCCUAUAUACCACCGUCGCCAGCUUACCCUGUGAAGGAAAGUAAGCAAGAUGGAGAUUCUCCAGAACGUCAGGUCGAGGUGUAGCACACGAAGUGGGAAGAAAUGGGCUACAUUGCCUGAUUAAGGCUAUUAACGGAAAAUCGCCUGAAAAGAGUUUUAAAAGGUGGAUUUAGCAGUAAAAGGGGAGUAGAGUGCCCUUUUGAAGCCGGCUCUGAGGCGCGCACACACCGCCCGUCACUCUCCCCAGCAACCCUAAUUCACGGGUAAUUUAACCCAAAGCACGUAAUAAGGGGAGACAAGUCGUAACAUGGUAAGUGUACCGGAAGGUGCACUUGGAGUAAC
rnacentral:rRNA from 1 species